AGAAUGACUCUCGGCAACGGAUAUCUAGGCUCUUGCAUCGAUGAAGAACGUAGCGAAAUGCGAUACUUGGUGUGAAUUGCAGAAUCCCGUGAACCAUCGAGUCUUUGAACGCAAGUUGCGCCCGAUGCCAUUGGGUUGAGGGCACGUCUGCCUGGGUGUCACAU
rnacentral:rRNA from 1 species